AACGAACGCUGGCGGCAUGCCUAACACAUGCAAGUCGAACGAGACCUUCGUGUCUAUUGGCGCACGGGUGCGUAACGCGUGGGAACCUGCCCUUAGGUUCGGAAUAACUCCCCGAAAGGGGUGCUAAUACCGGAUAAUGUCUUCGGACCAAAGAUUUAUCGCCAUUGGCUGGGCCCGUGUUGGAUUAGCUAGUUGGUAGGGUAAAAGCCUACCAAGGCCACGAUCCAUAGCUGGUCGGAGAGGAUGAUAAUCCACACUGGGGAUGAGACACGGCCCAGACUCCUACGGGAGGCAGCAGUGGGGAAUAUUGGACGAUGGGCGAAAGCCUGACACAGCAAUGCCGCGUGAGUGAUGAAGGCCUUAGGGUUGUAAAGCUCUUUUAGCCGGGAUGAUAAUGACAGUACCGGGAGAAUAAGCUCCGGCUAACUACGUG
rnacentral:rRNA from 1 species